GUGGAUCACUGCACAUAAUUUUCACAAAAGCACUGAGCGUAGACAGCAUUAUCAUCCCUAGCAAACAGAUGAAAGCCAGCCCACAAAGAGUGAAUUGAGUUGAUGAAAGAGAUGCAGAAACAUUGAAAGCAAAUGAUCCUGUGCCUGUGACUGAACCCUCCUUGAUCUCCGAAGGGCAAGUGUUACACUGUUGCCCGUGUUUCAUCUGGAAAAAACAGAAGUACACAGAAGAAUGUGAUUUGUCCAAAGUCACCUCCUGUCAGGGAAGUCUUUUCCCAGUAUCAGUCAUCACUUUGCUGGGCCGGUCCAUGCCAGUCCAUGCUGGUCCAUGCCUGCCUGGUCAGGCUACAAUCUUCAUUCACAAAGAGUACACUGGGAAGUCAGAGAGACCUGGGUUCAAGUCUGAAGUAUUGAGUGACUCAGAAAAUUAUAUAACUCCCAGCUGUGCCUCAGUUUCCUAGUCUGAACAGUGGCCAUCAACACAGAUGUUUGUUUUUUUUUUUAAUUUAAUUUUUUUAUAUAUGUUUUUUUGAGACGGAGUCUCGCUCUGUCGCCAGGCUGGAGUGCAGCGGAACGAUCUCUGCUCACUGCAACCUCUGCCUCCUGGGUUCAAGUGAUUCUCCUGCCUCAGCCUCCUGAGUAGCUGGGACUACAGGCACACGUCACCACACCUGGCUAAUUUUUGUAUUUUUAGUAGAGACGGGGUUUCACCGUGUUAGCCAGGAUGGUCUCAAUCUCUUGACCUCAUGAUCUGCCCGCCUGGGCCUCCCAAAGUGCUGGGAUUAUAGGUGUGAGCCACUGCUCCCGGCCCCAGAUGCUUGUUUUGAGGAUUAUGUAAGUAAGGUAUUAUUUUAUUGGAGGAUGAACAGUAAGCCCUCAGUAUGCGGUAAUAUUAAAUGCAAUAGAAAUACAUGAAUCCAAGAUUUCUCAAACCUUUACCACCCUCCACUCCCCACAACCAGGUGGAACAGAUGCUCUGUGUCUAAUGUCAUACCGCCUUGGCCCACUUCUGACUUUCACGGGGACUGUGAGAGACAUUUUAAUUCAUUCUGAGUAUUUCUCCCACUUUAAAUUGGUGCCAUUUCUCCACGUUUUUCUGCUUUUGUGCUUUCUUCAAAGCCAUAGAAGUAGGCAAAGCCCAGCGGGCAACCUUGGGUCAAAUGAGGAAGACAGUCGACUGCAAAUGCCCUAGUCCAGCCUUCGGAUAGAAAUUCUCCAAGUCUUUCUGAACAGAGUCCUAGCAGAGUUGAGUGCUCAUUGUCCACAGCAGCAACCUUGCCCUGGCCUAUGCACAUUGAUUAACUGCAUGACUUUGGAAGCCACUUUACUGCCUCUGAACAAUGAAGCACAGUUGAAUGCUCACAGAUCUAUAUGCUAGCAGAAUCUGUCAUCAGUACACAUCAAGUAUCUGUGGUUCCCUCCUCCUAAGAGAGAGCCUACAGUAUAGAGUCUCCCUCAUGGUUUAUCUACCCAAGUCCUGCACCCAAGACUUGUUUAGUGAAGCUACAGAGGGAACAUAUAGGCCCAAUGAUUGUAUUCAGAUCUCAGCUGCUCACUGGAUCUGCUCAAAAGUACAGUGGGAAUACCCUACCUUGAAAUAAGAUGCAUUCAGCAUCCUUACUAACGUGUGAACCAUUCCAGUCAGGAUUCCUGCACUGGUGAGAAAGAAGACUAGGAAAUCACUCACAUCUCCAAUUCUGAUUUAUAGGAUUCUAUAAAUGUAAAAUCAAUAGGCAUAACACUCAGCAAAAUUUAAAAUAAAAUUUUAU
rnacentral:lncRNA from 1 species